rnacentral:rRNA from 1 species
UCAAUCUCUUGUGACUAAACGCCACGCAUCCCUCUAAGAAGUCCGCACCGGCAGCGCCUGUUUCCAGACGUCCGCAAGCCCCGAAAGACAUUGCGGCGAACAGCCGGCUGACUAUUUAGCAGGCUAGAGUCUCGUUCGUUAU